CGUUAUGGCGGCUGUUAUGUGGGAGACCUUCGGGUCUGCCGGGUGCCUAUGACCGGUUCGCUAACCCGCGUGCAGCCGCCACCCAU
rnacentral:antisense_RNA from 3 species